AUAUAUAUUUAUAGGAGCACACUUUUGAUGCUGGUCUGAAGAAGUGCCAGUCUAACGUUUAAAAACGUAAAU